rnacentral:rRNA from 1 species
UGGGGAAUCUUGCACAAUGGGCGCAAGCCUGAUGCAGCCAUGCCGCGUGAAUGAUGAAGGCCUUAGGGUUGUAAAAUUCUUUCGCUAGGGAAGAUAAUGACGGUACCUAGUAAAGAAGCCCCGGCUAACUCCGUGCCAGCAGCCGCGGUAAUACGGAGGGGGCUAGCGUUGUUCGGAAUUACUGGGCGUAAAGCGGGUGUAGGCGGACCGGCCAGUCGGGGGUGAAAGCCCAGGGCUCAACCCUGGAAUAGCCUUCGAUACUUCCGGUCUCGAGUGUGGGAGAGGUGAGCGGAAUUCCGAGUGUAGAGGUGAAAUUCGUAGAUAUUCGGAGGAACACCAGAGGCGAAGGCGGCUCACUGGACCACUACUGACGCUGAGAUCCGAAAGCGUGGGGAGCAAACAGGAUUAGAUACCCGUGUAGUCC